UACAGAGGUCUCAAGCGUUGUUCGGAUUCAUUGGGCGUAAAGGGUGCGUAGGUGGCGCCGUAAGUCAGGUGUGAAAUCUCGGGGCUCAACCCCGAAACUGCACUUGAUACUGCGGUGCUCGAGUACUGGAGAGGAGAUUGGAAUUUACGGUGUAGCAGUGAAAUGCGUAGAUAUCGUAAGGAAGACCAGUGGCGAAGGCGACUGACUGGACAAGUAUUGACGCUGAGGUACGAAAGCGUGGGGAGCAAACAGG
rnacentral:rRNA from 1 species